GUCAGUGACCCCUGAAUGGAGUCGUGAUGACAAUCAUCAGAGCCUCACAGGUCAUGUGACUGUCUCCGCAAAAGCUCUGUUUCCGGCGGUGUCAGGUGUGUGUUUGGGGAGUCAACACAGCCGUUCCUGUUCUGGGUUCAAAAUAACCCAGAGACUAAAAUUCCUCUCUCUCUUUAUCUCGGUCCGUCUCUGCUGGUGUGGAGCAAGACGGUCCAGCAGUGUGUUACACAACCUCCGAAAUAAAGGCUCCUCGGUGGCUCUUUACGACGGUAGUCUGUUUGAUCUGGUCCUCACACUCCUCCACCCACACCUUUUUCCCCAUCACUCCAUCCAUCUCCUCCAUGCGCAGCGAGUUUGUCAUGCUGAGCUUUUCCACUCCGGAGGAAACGACUGAAAACACGGCCUGACCUGAGAAACACAUUCAAAACAUUGUUGUUGUUUUUUUUUCAUUACAUGACACCUUAUUUAAUACAAAUGCUAUUGUUUAUUUGUUAUUUGUAAAUUGUGCACUUAUUUAUAGUCAUUACUGUGUACAAUGCUUUGCCAAUAUUACAUAAUCA
rnacentral:lncRNA from 1 species